ensembl:snoRNA
UCCUUCUUGUAAAAGCACUGUGCUAAAAUUGCAGAAACUAGGACCAUUUCUUAGUUUUUGUGAUAAUGCUAGCAGAGUACACACAGGAAGAAAAGUAAAUGCACUAGAUUGUAAAGACUGGGGUGGACCUCUUUCUUAAUGUCCAGUGUCCUUUGUCUUAAAAUUUGGUGCGAAUAUGU